rnacentral:rRNA from 1 species
UACGUAGGGUGCAAGCGUUAAUCGGAAUUACUGGGCGUAAAGCGUGCGCAGGCGGUUCUAUAAGACAGAUGUGAAAUCCCCGGGCUCAACCUGGGAACUGCAUUUGUGACUGUAGAGCUGGAGUACGGUAGAGGGGGAUGGAAUUCCGCGUGUAGCAGUGAAAUGCGUAGAUAUGCGGAGGAACACCGAUGGCGAAGGCAAUCCCCUGGACCUGUACUGACGCUCAGGGGCGAAAGCGUGGGGAGCAAACCGG